rnacentral:rRNA from 1 species
UACAGAGGUCUCAAGCGUUGUUCGGAAUCACUGGGCGUAAAGCGUGCGUAGGCUGUUUCGUAAGUCUUGUGUGAAAGGCGCGGGCUCAACCCGCGGACGGCACAUGAUACUGCGAGACUAGAGUAAUGGAGGGGGAACCGGAAUUCUCGGUGUAGCAGUGAAAUGCGUAGAUAUCGAGAGGAACACUCGUGGCGAAGGCGGGUUCCUGGACAUUAACUGACGCUGAGGCACGAAGGCCAGGGGAGCGAAAGGG